rnacentral:rRNA from 1 species
AAACCGCUUAGGGGUUAAGCCGGAUGAACCUGAAUAUCUGAAUUGAGAAAUUCAAUGCUGUCUUAAUCAACAGCAUGCACUUUUCUCAUAGUAGGACAUUGCGAUCCAUUAGUAGUCUUUCUGAGACGGUUUAUCAAACGGCCUGCGUAGUCAGUUUAGCCUAUCUGCCAUAUUUAUAUGGUAUGGUUAAUGCUAUUGCGGUGACCUGGUAAACAGCUGAUGGAGCUUAUAAAUCAUGCCACCAUGCAAAUGAAUCACGGUUCAGGGGUAUUCAUAUCCUUGGAUGCAGCGAUCGCAUGUAUUUGAUUAGCAAUGCGAUAGAUUUGGGAUACCUUCCGGACCCGUCUUGAAACACGGACCAAGAAGUCUAACAUGUGUGUAAGUCAUUGGGUAUUUUGUUGAAACCUAAAGGCGUAAUUAAAAUAACUAUUAUGGGAUUACAAGCAAUCUAUAUGAUUGUUUCUCCAUCCCGGGGCGUUCUAUAUGAACAUGGUUUAAGCAAUUAGACCCUCUGUUCGAGAGCGUACCUUGAACAUACAUGCUGUGACCCGAAAGAUGGUGAACUAUACCUGAUCAGGUUGAAGUCAGGGGAAACCCUGAUGGAGGACUGAAGCAGUUCUGACGUGCAAAUCGAUUGUCAGAAUUGGGUAUAGGGGCGAAAGACCAAUCGAACCAUCUAGUAGCUGGUUCCCUCCGAAGUUUCCCUCAGGAUAGCUGGCGCAAUGAAAAAUCUAAUAUAUAAUCUUAUCUGGUAAAGCGAAUGAUUAGAGGCCUUGGGGCCGAAACGACCUCAACCUAUUCUCAAACUUUAAAUGGGUAAGAACCUCAUCUUUCUUGAUCUGAAGAUAUUGGGGUUUAGAUAUAUUGUGCCCAGUGGGCCACUUUUGGUAAGCAGAACUGGCGCUGUGGGAUGAACCAAACGCGAUGUUACGGCGCCUAAAUUAAUGACUCAUAUUGAUACCAUGAAAGGCGUUGGUUGCUUAAAACAGCAGGACGGUGGACAUGGAAGUCGUAAUCCGCUAAGGAGUGUGUAACAACUCACCUGCCGAAGCAACUAGCCCUUAAAAUGGAUGGCGCUCAAGUCAUAUGCCUAUACAUCGCCGCUAAAAUAAAAAGCAUUUGCCUUCAGGUAAAAGCUAUAAAAUUUUAGUGAGUAGGAGGGUACAAUGGUGUGCGCAGAAGUGUUUGGCGUGAGCCUGCAUGGAGCCGCCAUUGGCACAGAUCUUGGUGGUAGUAGCAAAUAAUCGAAUGAGAUCUUGGAGGACUGAAGUGGAGAAGGGUUUCGUGU